rnacentral:rRNA from 1 species
ACUCAAAGGAAUUGACGGGGACUCGCACAAGCAGUGGAGCAUGUGGUUUAAUCCGAUACAACGCGUAGAACCUUACCAAGGUUUGACAUGUAACGCAAAAACGAAGAAACUCGUCAGAGGUUAUCGUUACACAGGUGCUGCAUGGCCGUCGUCAGUUCGUGCCGUGAGGUGUAUGGUUAAGUCCUAUAACGAACGUAACCCUUGUGCUUAGUUACUAACAUUAAGUUGAGGACUCUAAGCAGACUGCCAAGGUAACUUGGAGGAAGGAAAGGAUGACGCCUGGUCGUCAUGGCCCUUAUGCCUUGGGCCACACACAUGCUACAAUGGUUAAUACAAAGGGUUGCCAACUCGCGAGAGGGAGCUAAUCUCAAAAAAUUAACCUCAGUUCAGAUUGGAGGCUGAAACUCGCCUCCAUGAAGGAGGAAUUGCUAGUAAUCGCAAAUCAGCUACGUUGCGGUGAAUACGUUCUCGAGUCUUGUACACACCGCCCGU